GCCUCUAGACAAUCGGAGUGAUCUAUCACCUCUCAAACUACUGUUGGUGCUGGAGAAAACCACGUACCAGUAUCAAGCAUGGAUCCAACUGAAGUAGCUCAGAUGGCUCCACAAUCCUUCUGCAAAGCCACCGGAGUCUCUCCAUACACACAAAAAAAAAAAUAAAGAGAAAUUUUCCUACGGUCAAACAGGAAGAAGAAGAGAGACAAAAGGAGGGGUAGUGCUAAGCCCCAGAGCAGACCCAUAAGUGGCACAUCCAAGCCACAAAACAAAACAAAACAAAAAAAGAAGAAGAAGAAGAAGAAAAGAAAAGAAAGGAGAGAAGGAAAGAAAGGAAAGAAAGGAAAGGAGGGGGGCUGUCCUUUUCUCUCGCAGGUUAGAGAAGCCACCGAAGGGUGGGACACUGGGCCCCUUUUGCCCAAGGUCGGCACCGCCUCCUUCGUGUCCGGCAUCCAGUGACUCUGGCUCCACCCGAGCGGAUGGCCCACCAACUCCGCCCAAAUUCCGGCUCUGCCUGAGUGGAUGGCCCUGAAGUCUUGAUCUCCGGCUCCAGCCCCGAGCUCUCCCGUGCACCCGGCUCUGAGGUCGCCAUCCUCGCAUCUCGCCUCGCCCAGGUUCGAGCUCUGGAGGUGCUCCCUCGCUUGCGCCUCCCUAGUCGGCUCCGCGCCUCCGAGCUCUCUCGCGCACCCUGCUCUGAGGUCACCAUCCUCGCACCUCGCCUCGCCUAGGUCCGAGCUCUGGAGGUGCUCCCUCGCUCGCGCCUCCCCGAUCGACUCCACGCCUCGAAGAUCUCCCCACUUGUCCUUGUCUCCGACGUCGAUCUUGCCCAGAUCUGGCCUCCAUGGUGCUCUCGACCUCUUUCAAGCUCCCGCUGUUGGCACCAAACUUGUCGGUUCUGAGUUUAUGACCUGCCGAACUCAUCAAACUCCCCCCUCGCCUAGAUCCGGAGCCUGGGAUCGCUCUACUCUCAUCCGAUGCCCCUGACAGCGAUGAGCCUCAUUUGAUCCGUGGGUCUGAGCCCUGAGGCCCUCCCACGUGCAAAUUACACCCGUCGAGGUCACCUGUGGAUGAAUCCGAGACCUCCACACUGGCAAAAGCCCAUCAACUUUGAAGGCCUCCGGUUCUUAAAUAAGAGGUUAAUCUUAUUCUUGAAUGAAGAUGAAGCCCCUGCUCUUAAGUACGGACGUCAACUCCAUGCCGAUCUAUUUUUCAAUAGGUGAAGGCUCCUGUUCUUAACCAUGGGUGUCAACUCUAUAUUGACAUGCUCGUACUCUUAGAUGAAGGCUCGUACUCUUAAGCACGGAUGUCAACUCUAUAUCAACUUGCUCUUCAAUAUGUGAAGUCCCUGUUCUUAAACAUGGGUGUCAGCUUCAUGCAGAAUCUUGUCCUUAAAUGAGGUUGAAGGCUCUUGUUCCUGAACGGGGUUGGCAAAGCCGAGCUCAAUCUGAUUUUAAAUGAAGAUGAAGAAGGCCCUGUUUCUAAACAGGGUGUUAGUCAAUGUCGAGCUUAAUCUCAUCUUAAAAUGAGGUUGAAGUCCCAUUGCUCUUAAGCACAUGGGAAAAUUAAUAAAUUUCUUGUUCUUAUGCAGGAUUCGAGCUCUUUCUACAAGCAAAGAUGCAACUAGACUGCCCUAUGUUCUUAAACAAGGGGGACAGAGCUACUCAAGGUCGGCUAAAAGCAACGUUAAGAACACAGCAGAUCAACCAAGGUAAAUCAUGCAAAUCCAAGGUCCAAGUAUGUAGAUCCAAGGUAAAUCAUGUAAAUCCAAAAUCAAAGCAUGCAGAUCCGAGAUAAAUCAUGCAAAUUCAAAGUUCAAGCAUGCAGAUCCAAAGUAAAUCAUGCAAAUUCAAGGUCCAAGCAUGUUGAUCUGAGGUAAAAUAUACAAAUUCAAGGUCAAAGCAUACAGAUUCUAGGUAAAUCAUAUAAUUCGAGGUAAAUCAUGCGGAUCCGAGAUAAAUCAUGCAAAUCC
rnacentral:lncRNA from 1 species